rnacentral:tRNA from 1 species
CCUUCGAUAACUCAGUUGAUAGAGCGGUGGACUGUAGAUCCAUAGGUCGCUGGUUCAAAUCCGGCUCGAAGGA